UACGUAGGGUGCAAGCGUUGUCCGGAAUUAUUGGGCGUAAAGAGCUCGUAGGCGGUUUGUCGCGUCUGCUGUGAAAACUCGGGGCUUAACCCUGGGCCUGCAGUGGGUACGGGCAGACUAGAGUGCGGUAGGGGAGACUGGAAUUCCUGGUGUAGCGGUGAAAUGCGUAGAUAUCAGGAGGAAUACCGAUGGCGAAGGCAGGUCUCUGGGCUGACACUGACGCUCAUGCACGAAAGCGUGGGGAGCAAACAGG
rnacentral:rRNA from 1 species